GACGAACGCUGGCGGCGUGCCUAAUACAUGCAAGUCGAACGCAGUGGGGACGGGUGAGUAACACGUGGGUAACCUCCCAUCAGAGGGGAUAACACUUGGAAACAGGUGCUAAACCGAUACUGAUGGAUGGACCCGCGGUGCAUUAGCUAGUUGGUGAGGUAACGGCUCACCAAUGCCACGAUGCAUAGCCGCCCGAGGAGGGUGUUCGGCCACACUGGGACUGAAACACGGCCCAGACUCCUGCGGGAGGCAGCCGUAGGGAAUCUUCGGCUAUGGACUAAAGUCUGGCCGAGCAACGCCGCGUGAGUGAAGAAGGUUUUCGGAGCGUAAGACGCUGUUGUUAGAGAAGCGGUAUCUAACCAGAAAGCCACGGCUGACUACGUGCCAGCAGCCGCGGUAAUUC
rnacentral:rRNA from 1 species